ensembl:lncRNA
AUGGAAGCAGCCGCCAAAAAUGGUUAUCAAACUAAUCCUGAUAUAGUACAAAAUGAAAAACCGGAACAAGGUUAUAUAAAAUUUAAUUCGAAUGGUAACUUAUUUAGUAGUUCAUCCUUUAGUUCUAAUAAAAACUCAUAUACAAAUAAUGUUACUACUGCUGGUGCUACAAAAAAAAAAAAAAAAAAAAAAGUUGGUUCAAGUCAAAGUGACAGUAAUGGCAGUAAUGACAGCCAUGGUAGUAACUCCAAACAAAAUAAACAAUUUUCUCCCUUUUUCUUUAAUUCAUCAUUUAAUAAAGACAAAAAUGAUAAUACUUCAGAUACUGCCAAAUUAGAAAAAGAAAAACCGCAAUUUGAUUUAGGUUUGUCUCAAAUGCUCCCAUCUAAUGAUAAAAUAAAAGGUGAUUUCCCUUCUUCGUUUUUUAAUUUUCUGGACGAUAAAAAUGUUCAAAAAGGUACUAAUGGAAGCGACAGAGGAAGUAGCAAGGACAAUGCGUUUUUACGAAAUGGUUUUAAUAAAAACGACUUAUGUCACAAAACGAAUGACGAGACAGAACAGAAAAAGGAGACAGAGCAGAAAGAACAGACGGAACAGAAAGAACAGACAGAACAGAAAGAACAGAAAGGGGAGACGGAACAAAAAAGUACUAGUGCAGAAUUAAAAGAAAGAAAUAAAAAUGAACAUAAUGAAAACCAUGAUCAUGAAAAAAUGGCCGAUGCCAUUCUUAAACACAUAAAAAAAAAAUUAAAGAACGAGAUGGGUACGUCUUUUAUGCAAAGCUGGGGAUGUAAUAUUUUUAUGAACUCAAAAAAUGACGACAUAAAAAAUGACGAUACAGAAAUAUCCAAAAGUGAAAAUAUCAAAUCCUUAGAAUCAGGUGAAUUAAAACAGAAAUACAAAGAACUACUUGUAAAAAAAAACAAAAACAGAAACAAACAAAUAUAUAAUAAAAUAAAAAAUGAACUAAAAAAGACAAGAAAUUUAAAUAAUGUGGAUAAAAAAUUAAAUGAUUUCAUAGAAGAACAUAAAAAAAUGAAUGAUUACCAUUUAAAAAAGUUUAAUAAAGAAAUUGCUCAAAUUGAUCGUACAAGCGUUGACACUGUACGUACAAGCGUUGACACUGUACGUGCUGGCGCUGGUGCGGGUGCGGGUGCUGUAACUUUGCGUGAAACAGACAUAACUAUGAAGUUGUUAUUUGACAAUUAUGAAAAUGAAAGUAACAAAUCGAGUAGCAUUGAAAAUAAAACUAUCAUAACCCACGAUUCAGAUGGUAUUACUUCUGUUACAGAUUUAGAUGAUAAUAAAAAUGGAGAGAUUUUCAAACACAACCAAAAGCAGAAGCAGAAGCAGAAGCAGGAGCAGAACAAGAAGCAGAACAAGAAGCAGAACAAGAAGCAGAACAAGAAGCAGAAAAGUGACAAAGUAACAAUAAAUGAUGAUGAUAAACCGAACGAUCAUGACACAUAUGAAGAGUUACAUUCAACCUAUAGCGAUUUUACAUUUUCUAAAAGUGAAAAUAAUAAUAAAAAAAAUUUAAAACAUCAUAUAAAAAGAGAAAACGAAAUAAGUUUGUUAAACAGGUAUGAUGAAAAUGAAGACAUUUACAUGAUAAAUGAGUCGAGCUACGAACAAGGUAAAGACAUACGGCGUACUAUCCUCCAAACCGACAAUGACAAAAACAGAAGCAGUAGUAGUAGCAGUGGUAGUAGUGGUAGCAGUGGUAGUGGUAGUGGUAGUGGUAGUGGUAGUGGUAGUGGUAGUGGUANNNNNNNNNNUGGUAGUGGUAGUGGUAGUGGUAGUGGUAGUGGUAGUGGUAGUGGUAAAUCCAACACAAACUCGCUAAACAAUUACAAUGAUAGCAACUACAAAAACUAUCUAUUAAUUAAUAAUAAAAAAAAAACGCUACAAACAGCAAUGUGCAAACAAAAUGUAAUAAAAAAAAUUAAAGAAAAAAAAAAAAAGAGUAAUGCCAAAUUAAAUAAACAGGAAAUAAUACAAAAAGAAAUAAAUAAAGGAAAGCAAUUUUAUAAAUUCAUAUAUCCACUUACUCCCUAUGAAUUAUAUGUUAUUAAUAAAUUUUACAAUCAUGGAAUAAAAAAAAAACCAACACAAAUAGAGGACUAUAGCUCUGUUCUUUGUUUAUCUAAUAAAACAACGAAUAAAUAUAUGUUAAAAAAUAAUAUCAUAAGAAAUUUUAUUAAUUUAAAUUAUAUACAGUAUAAAAUAGAUACUAUGAAGCUAUUACUAAAAAAUAGUUUAAAAUAUAUAUGCGAAAAAAAAUACACAAAAGCUUUAAAACUAUGCAUAAAAAACUCUCAGUAUAUUAAUAAUUUUAUAUCUAGCUAUUGUAUUAUUAAAAAGAGAACCGCAUCUAGUGUUGUUGACACAAAUAAUAGUAAUAGUAAUAGUAGCCGUGGCAGUAGCGGUAGUAGUGGCAGUAGUAGUGGCAGUAGUAGCGACAUCAAUGCCUCCUGCUGCAGCAAAAAUCCUUAUACGUACACAGAAAUUUAUCUAAUUAUAAAUAACAAAAAAAAAAUCACAAUAAACCAAUUACAAACGAUUUUAAAAAAAAACGUCAAGCAUAUUAUCAUAUGUAAAAUAUUAACACUAAUAAAUAAAUAUAAGUAUUUUAAAUAUACUGAAAAUUCAUCUAUUAUUUUAGUUUUAUAUCUAGUAUUAUGUAGAAUAAUACCUAAAUGCAAACUAUUAAAUUUGAUAUUAAAAAAAUGUAUAGAACUUUUAUUUUUUAGAGGGUGUUUGUAUUUGGUUACCACAAUAUGUGAUUUUUUAUUUUUAUUUUUUCCUAAUGAAAAAUAUAAUAAUAUAAUAUAUGAAAUAUAUAAGCUUUCUAAAAAUAGUUUUCUUCGAUAUUCAACAGUUUACAAAAGUAAUAAGUUUACAUUAAUAAAAAAUCAUAAUCUUAAUUAUGAUACAUGUAUAAAACUAUUUUCGCCCGAAUGGGGUUAUUACAUAUACGCUACUAGCAAUUUCAAUAUAUUCCCUUCUACAAUUAAAUUUAAUGGUUUCUUAAAAAAACAAACUGAUUUUUCUCACAUAAUAACAGAACAAACAUAUAAGUCUUUCUCUGAUGAUAUUUCAUUUGCACCUAUUAAUUUAAAUGAGAAAAGCCAAGCGAAUAGUGUUGUCCAUACUCACGAGCAAAAAACAGAAAAUUCCUUGAUCAAUGACUCAAUUAUGAAUGGUACUACUACCAAACUGGAUGAUACUCAUAAUAAUAACAAAAAAAAAGAAAAAAAACUUACCAUUCAAGACAAAGAACAAAAUACUUUUAUGCAAACGCGUACGAAUAAUGAUAGUAAAAAUGGAAAAAAAGAAAAAAUGGAAACUGAACGGAAUGAGAAAAUUGGGAAGGAUGAACAUAGUGGGAAGGAUGAACAUAGUGGGAAGGAUGAACAGAGUGGGAGAGAUGAACAGAGUGGGAGAGAUGAACAGAGUGGGAAGGAUGAACAGAGUGGGAGAGAUGAACAGAGUGGGAGAGAUAAGCAGAAAACAGCUUUAUACAAAUAUAUGCUCGAUCAUCAAAAAAAAACUCGACAUUAUUAUAUUAUUAGUGAUACUAUGAAACGAGUCGAGUUUAAUCGUGAAAAGACAAACUAUAACUUGGAAACGUUUGUAAAAAUAGACAAUGAAAAAAGAAAGAAACAACAGGAGCAGGCAGAAAUACACUUAUACGCACAAAAUGACACAUGUUUAAAGAUGAAAAAAUAUAACUAUCAAAAUACACAACUAUUAGGAAUGUGUCCUAAUUGUAAUAACACAUUAACCAAUUUUGGAAACACAUGUUUAGUAUGCCAACAACAUAUAUAUAUAUGUCAUUACUUGUUUAUUUGUUGUACAUACAAAUACCAUUGCCAGCUGUGUGACGCAACUUACUCCGAGAAGGUAAUAUAG